UAUACGACCGUACCGCAAACCGACACUGGUGCGCGAGAUGAGUAUUCUAAGGCGCUUGAGAGAACUCAGGAGAAGGAACUCGGCAAAUUGACACCGUAACUUCGGAAGAAGGUGUGCCCUAUUAGUGUGUAGUGAACAACGAAGCAUGAAUGGGUUGCAAAAAAUCGGUGGCUGCGACUGUUUAUUAAAAACACAGCACUCUGCAAACACGAAAGUGGACGUAUAGGGUGUGACGCCUGCCCGGUGCUGGAAGAUUAAAUGAUGGGGUGCAAGCUCUUGAUUGAAGUCCCAGUAAACGGCGGCCGUAACUAUAACGGUCCUAAGGUAGCGAAAUUCCUUGUCGGGUAAGUUCCGACCUGCACGAAUGGCGUAACGAUGGCCACACUGUCUCCUCCUGAGACUCAGCGAAGUUGAAAUGUUUGUGAUGAUGCAAUCUCCCCGCGGAAAGACGGAAAGACCCCAUGAACCUUUACUGUAGCUUUGUAUUGGACUUUGAACAGAUCUGUGUAGGAUAGGUGGGAGGCUUUGAAGCAGGGUCGCUAGAUCUUGUGGAGCCAACGUUGAAAUACCACCCUGGUGUGUUUGAGGUUCUAACCUAGGUCCAUUAUCUGGAUCGGGGACAGUGCAUGGUAGGCAGUUUGACUGGGGCGGUCUCCUCCCAAAGCGUAACGGAGGAGUUCGAAGGUACGCUAGUUACGGUCGGACAUCGUGACGAUAGUGCAAUGGCAUAAGCGUGCUUAACUGCGAGACUGACAAGUCGAGCAGAUGCGAAAGCAGGACAUAGUGAUCCGGUGGUUCUGUAUGGAAGGGCCAUCGCUCAACGGAUAAAAGGUACUCUGGGGAUAACAGGCUGAUACCGCCCAAGAGUUCAUAUCGACGGCGGUGUUUGGCACCUCGAUGUCGGCUCAUCUCAUCCUGGGGCUGUAGCCGGUCCCAAGGGUAUGGCUGUUCGCCAUUUAAAGAGGUACGUGAGCUGGGUUUAAAACGUCGUGAGACAGUUUGGUCCCUAUCUUCCGUGGGCGCUGCAGAUUUGAGGAAGCCUGCUCCUAGUACGAGAGGACCGGAGUGGACACACCUCUGGUGUAUCGGUUGUCACGCCAGUGGCAUUGCCGAGUAGCUAAGUGUGGAAGAGAUAACCGCUGAAAGCAUCUAAGCGGGAAACUCGUUUCAAGAUGAGAUCUGCCGGGGCCUUGAGCCCCCUAAAGAGUCGUUCAAGACCAGGACGUUGAUAGGUCAGGUGUGGAAGCGCAGUAAUGCGUUAAGCUAACUGAUACUAAUUGCUCGUGCGGCUUGACC
rnacentral:rRNA from 1 species